UUGUAAUCCAGCUAGUAGAUUUGGUUCUUUGGAAGUUGUGGAAAUGGUUGUUCCUUAACCAGUAAAACUUAAUGUUUUUUUUUUAAGUUCUGAGAAUGGAAAUUAACAUUGUUCCUGUUCUGGGAACGCACAUUUUUAGGUAGCAGGGAGGUUCUGAGAAUGUUUUACUCUGGUUCCCUAAGUUUUCCUGGGAGGUUUUUAUUAAUGUUCUGAGAAUGGAAAUUAUAGGUUAUUUGAAGGUCCAGAAGAAGUACAGUAUGAGAGAUAGCUAGCCUAUCAUGGCUGAAGAGGACCACUAAGGUGGUACCCAGCAGUUACUGUGUUGUCUAAAGCCCAAGCUGAUCGAUGCUCUGAGUGCAGACCCUAACUUUGUGCAGCAGCAUUCAGACUCUCUCAGACUAAUGUCCCGGCGUGAGUACCAGCAGGUCAAAGCCCUCACUGAGGCAUUAGAAAAGGCCCGGGACCUUCUGAACCAUGUGAUCCACAAAGGAGUCGCUGCUGCAGAGGAGUUACUGCAGUUCCUGAUAGUCAAUGAACUGCAAGAGACGUUUCCAAAACUUCCAUUCCUCAAGAAACUGUCAAUGAAUCAUCAAAGAGCUGCAGGGGGAAAUUAAUUUACCAGAAAGAGAAGAAGAGAAGACAAACCAUUGAGUCAGAAGAAACCCUUCCUGCUAAACAGACAAGCAAGAAUAGUUAGUUUUCCUGCCGGAACAGGAU
ensembl:lncRNA